UCGAGAAUCUUCGGCAAUGGGCGCAAGCCUGACCGAGCGACGCCGCGUGUGGGAUGAAGGCCUUCGGGUUGUAAACCACUGUCGGAGGGGAGGAAAUGCGUGAGGGUUCUCUCUCACGUUUGACCUAGCCUCGGAGGAAGUACGGGCUAAGUUCGUGCCAGCAGCCGCGGUAAGACGAACCGUACGAACGUUAUUCGGAAUUACUGGGCUUAAAGGGUGCGUAGGCGGCGCAGUAAGUAGGGUGUGAAAUCCCUCGGCCUAACCGAGGAACCGCGCCCUAAACUACUGUGCUCGAGGGAGAUAGAGGUGAGCGGAACUUAGGGUGGAGCGGUGAAAUGCGUUGAUAUCCUAAGGAACACCGGUGGCGAAAGCGGCUCACUGGAUCUCUUCUGACGCUGAGGCACGAAAGCUAGGGUAGCGAACG
rnacentral:rRNA from 1 species